rnacentral:rRNA from 1 species
UAGGCGUAAAUGAUGCGAGUUAAGUGUGGGGGCAUCUACGAGAUGGCCCUGUGCUGUAGGGUAGCCGUUAAACUCGCUGCCUGGGGAGUACGGUCGCAAGGCUGAAACUUAAAGGAAUUGGCCGGGGGGAGCACCACAAGAGGUGGAGGCUGCGGUUCAAUUGGACUCAACGCCGGAAACUCAUCGGGAGCGACAGCAGUAUGAUUGCCAGGUUGAUGACCUUGCUUGACAAGCUGAGAGGAGGUGCAUGGCGUAGUCGUGU